rnacentral:rRNA from 1 species
GACGAACCGUGCGAACGUUAUUCGGAAUCACUGGGCUUAAAGGGCGCGUAGGCGGGCCCGUCAGUCAGGGGUGAAAUCCCACGGCCCAGCCGUGGAAGUGCCUCUGAUACUGCGGGCCUCGAGGGGGAUAGGGGCGUGCGGAACUCAGGGUGGAGCGGUGAAAUGCGUAGAUAUCCUGAGGAACACCGGUGGCGAAAGCGGCGCGCUGGAUCCCUUCUGACGCUGAGGCGCGAAAGCGUGGGGAGCAAACAGG